GGAAGACUUGUCUUGUAUAAAACAGUUUGAAAAUUCCAAUUGAAUUACUUCUAGUUCGGAAACUACAAGCUAUCAGAAUGAAACUUGCCAUCUCUACUGUCACCAUCUUAGUCUGCCUUUCUGGUAUGAAGGGAAUUCUUGCCGACGACGAUUAUUAUGGGGGAAGUUACGGUGGGGUCGGUGGAUACGGCCAAAGCUACGGAAAUGGUGGAUACGGUCAAAGCUACGGAAAUAGUGGAUACGGCAGUAGCUAUGGAAAUAGUGGAUACGGUCAAAACUACGGAAAUGGUGGAUACAGCAGUUACGGAAAUAGUGGAUACGGCAGUAGCUACGGAAAUAGUGGAUACGGCAGUAGCUAUGGAAAGGGUGGACACAUGGGAGGUUACUCAGGAUAUGGUGGAUAUGGAAAGGGAUAUUCUGGUUAUGGAAAUGAAGGUCACCACGGAUAUGGCAAAAAGGGAGGUUACGUCGAUGAAACAAUCCAUUAUUUACCUCAUCCAGUUCCAGUUAUCGCCCCUUCCGCUAUGAUUGGAGGCGGCAUCGGUAGUGGUAUUGGUGGCGGUAUUGGCAGUGGUAUUGGUGGUGAUAGCAUGUCACUACUUCCACUCCUUUUAUUGGUACCGUUCUUGUUCAGAAACAACGACGAUUAAACAGCUUUAACCUCAUUAUGAAAUUUCAAACCAUAUUUUAGAGAAGAGAGAUAACACUUGAAUCAUCGUGUGAAUGCAGUGAAUGGAAUAGUUUGAUAAAGUUUACACGACAGUACCACAAUGCAGAAUGAAUGUGAAGAGAUUCCAUUGUAAAAAGAAAAGAAGAAAUUGUAAUCAGUUGAUUGUUUAUAUAUAAUUUGUUAUUAAAAAUAAUUUUAUUGUA